rnacentral:misc_RNA from 1 species
AAAGUGCGAUAAUUAGUGUGAAUUGCGGAAUUCGUGAAUCAUCAAGUUUUUGAACGCAAAUGGCACCAAUCUAAAUCGAUUGGUACAUCUGUUUAAGUGUUGGUUGAUAAUCUUUAUUCUUACUCAAUUGAAUAAGAAUUUAAAUGUUGAAUGUCUUAUUUUUACUAAUAAUAAUAAUAAGUCAUUUUAAAUUUAAAUAUGAUUAUUUUAAUCAUCAUACAUGAUAAAAUUAAUUAUUUUUAUUUGUGAACUAAUUAUUUAGUAUAACUUUAAAGAAUACUUAAUUUUACUCAUCAUUGUAUCUACAUUAUUCAUCAUUUUCUUAUCAACCUCAAAUCAGAUGAGAUUACCCGCUGAAUUUAAGC